GCAAGUCGAGCGCAGUCCUUCGGGACCGAGCGGCGGACGGGUUAGUAACGCGUGGGAACAUACCCUUCUCUACGGAAUAGCCUCGGGAAACUGAGAGUAAUACCGUAUAAGCCCUUCGGGGGAAAGAUUUAUCGGUGAAGGAUUGGCCCGCGUAAGAUUAGAUAGUUGGUGGGGUAAUGGCCUACCAAGUCUACGAUCUUUAGCCGACCUGAGAGGGUGAUC
rnacentral:rRNA from 1 species